ACAAUAAUAUUAAAUAAAAAAAAAGCAAAAUAUUAUUUUAAUUUUUUACAAACUUGUAGUAUAUCUUCAGAUGAAAAAUCAGACCUUGGAAUUGUAAAAAUUAACAGAUCAAACAAAUCGAGACAUAAGAAAGUAAGUAAUAAACCGUGGAGGAGUAUCUCAAAAAAAAAAAAAAACAGAAUUAUUAAGGAUGACUAUAAUAACUAUAACAGUAACAUUUAUGGUAAUGAAAAAUCUAUAGACAUUGAAAGCGAAUUAAUGCGCUCUUCCGAAUAUAUAUUAUCAACACACAUGAAUAUAACAGAUAGUACCGAUUUAUAUUUUAAAUAUAAAAGACAAACAAACUAUUGUAAUUUAUAUAGCGACAAUGAAUUAUCGCUCGAUUCCAAUACUGACAGUGGAAAAAGUAAAAAAAAUGAAAAUGAAAAAAGUAGACAAGAGAGGAGAAGAAAAGUUAGUAGUAGUAGUGGUAGUAGUAGUGGUAGUUAUAGUGGUAGUGGUAGCAGUAAUGGUAUCAGGAGUGGUAUCAGUAGUGGUAGCAGUAGUGGUAGUAGUAGUGGUAUCAGUAGUGGUAGUAGUAGUGGUAUCAGUAGUGGUAGCAGUAGUGGUAGCAGUAGUGGUAGCAAUAGUAGUAAUAGUAGUAAUAGUCAAGAACUGAAGGCACAUAUAGAUUCAAAAAACAGUGAAAAAGAUAUAAAAAGUGAUAAAAACUUAGUUAAAAAAAAAAAUAUGACAGAUUCAGAAAAAAAUGAACAUAAAAACAGUAAUAACAUAGGUGAUAUGUUAAUAAAUAGAACAGUAAGUAGUAAUAGUUAUGUAAACAAAGACAACAUUUAUGACCAUGUUAAUACGAUAAACAAUAAAAAUACAUCUAAUGGACAUUCAGAUAUUCCUAAAUUAUUUGAAACGCACGAGGAUGAUAUUCUUGACACGAUAGUGAAUGUAUAUAAAGACAAUAAUCAGUACAAGAAAAGGGAAAAUUUAAAAAAAAAAAAUAAAAAAAUAAAAAAACAAUUUGAAAAAAAACUAAAAGAACAAUGUGAUAGUAUGUAUUUACAUAAUAAUAAUCAUAGUCAUAAAAUGAAUUCAGAAGAGAAAUUUAAAAAUGAGAAAGGACAUGAAAUUAGUGAAAAUUGUUCUAGCAUUUCUUCCUGUUUUUAUAAUUUAAAAAAUAUUUUAUACGAUGAAAAAAAAUAUGUACAAAAAUAUAUAAUGAAAAAAAAAAAAAUAUUAUUAACUAAUAGAAGAAAAGUAAAUAUAUGUAUUAGUCCAAUAAAAUUUAAAAAAUUUGUUAAUAUAUUUUCUGAAAAAAAUCAAAUGGAUUUAAAUUUUAAUCUUACAAAAAAAAUAAAAAUAAAUAAUUUCUUAUUUAUUUGUUGUGAUACACCUGUUAUAAUAUAUUCUAAUUUAAAAAAAAAAUUAUCUUUUUCAAAGUUGUCUAUUAAAAAUGUUUAUUUAGUUGAUAUAUUUAAUGAUUUUAAUUAUCUAAAUCCAUUUCAUAAUUUUAUAUCUUUAAAAAAAAAAACAAAUAAUCAUAAUUUCUAUUUUAUAUUUUCAAACGGGACAAACAUAUAUAUAUCGCAUGUAAAUGACAUUAAAAAUACUUAUAUGCAAAAAAUACCAUUUUAUAGAACUAUUGAAAAAAUUGCAUACCAUUCAGAUACUGGUUUAUUAAUAGCAGCCUGUCCAAUGGAAGAAAAACAUAAAACAAAUAAAAUGAUGAAACACAUUAUAUGUUUUUUUGACAUUACACAAAACUCAGUUAAAUAUACUUAUAUAGUACCAUCCAAAUAUAGUGUGUCAAGUAUAUAUAUAUAUGAUAUUGAUAAAAAAUACAACCUUCCACCUGAUACUAACACAAAUAGUACCACAUACAGUAGUACUAACAUACAGAGUCUUAUUUGUAUCGGUACUUCUUAUGUAAGUGAACAAGUUACAGAACCAUCGUCUGGACAUAUGUAUAUUUUCAUAGCACAAAAAAAAAAUAACAACGCGUUCGAUAUUAGACAUAUAUAUACGUAUAAUUUUAAUUUUGGUGGAGUCACUAAUAUUAAGCAGCUUUCGAAUC
ensembl:lncRNA